GAUGAAGAACGUAGUGAAAUGCGAUAAGUAGUGUGAAUUGCAGAAUUCAGUGAAUCAUCGAAUCUUUGAACGCACAUUGCGCCCCUUGGUAUUCCAUGGGGCAUGCCUGUUCGAGCGUCAUUUGUACCCUCAAGCUUUGCUUGGUGUUGGGUGUUUGUCUCGCCUUUGCGUGUAGACUCGCCUUAAAAUAAUUGGCAGCCGGCGUAUUGAUUUCGGAGCGCAGUACAUCUCGCGCUUUGCACUCAUAACGACAGCGUCCAAAAGUACAUUUUACACUCUUGACCUCGGAUCAGGUAGGGAUACCCGCUGAACUUAAGCAUAUCAAUAAGCGGAGGA
rnacentral:misc_RNA from 1 species